CGCCAGACUCCUACGGGAGGCAGCAGUGAGGAAUAUUGGUCGAUGGGCGCGAGCCUGAACCAGCCAAGUCGCGUGAGGGAUGACGGCCCUACGGGUUGUAAACCUCUUUUGCCGGGGAGCAACGGGGUCCUUGCGAGGGCCCGAUGAGAGUACCCGGAGAAAAAGCAUCGGCUAACUCCGUGCCAGCAGCCGCGGUAAUACGGAGGAUGCGAGCGUUAUCCGGAUUUAUUGGGUGUAAAGGGAGCGUAGGCGGCGCGUUAAGUCUGAUGUGAAAACCCGAGGCUCAACCACGGGAGUGCAUUGGAAACUGGCGGGCUGGAGUGCCGGAGAGGUAAGCGGAAUUCCUAGUGUAGCGGUGAAAUGCGUAGAUAUUAGGAGGAACACCAGUGGCGAAGGCGGCUUACUGGACGGCAACUGACGCUGAGGCUCGAAAGCGUGGGGAGCAAACAGGAUUAGAUACCCCCGUACG
rnacentral:rRNA from 1 species